AAAUAAAUCAUCAAUAUGAGUUUGUUCCUCUAAAUGUUUUAUUAAUUUUAAACCAAUAAAAAAAAAAAAUAAAAAAAAAUUAAAGGGAGUAUCUAAGAGUGAAUAAUUAAAAAAAACGAAAAAAAGGAUAGUCAUAUGUAGUUGUACUCAAAAAAAAAAAAAAAGUGGUAAUAUAUUAAAUGUCCAGCAUUUAUUUUAAAACAUAACUAAUUUGAAUUAUGGAUAAAAUUAAAAAAAAUGUAAAAAAGGAAAUAUGUAAAAAAAAAAAGAAAAAAAAAAACGAUGUAAUUGCUGAUAAAGCGAACGAUGUAAUUACUGAUAAAGCGAACGAUGUAAUUGUUGACAGAGCGAACGAUGUAAGUAAGAACGAGCCAAGUAAUACUAAGCCCGAUGAUACCAAACUUACAAACCAAAUCAAAAACAGUAGUAAACACAUUAUAGAUUAUGACAUUGAACGUUACAUUACUAAAAAAAUACCAAACGAAUCAUGAACGCUGUUGACGCACCCCAUCAUUUAAGAAGCAACGAGUGGUUGCCAUUUCGAGAAGGUGUUGUUGUUGAACAAAAGUUAAAUGGAGUAAUAGUAGAUGUAGGUCUAUCAUCCAAUGCAUUUGUAAAAAAUAUAAAUAAUAUAAGUAAAGGCACAAGAGUUACUGUUUUAUUUGAUGAAAAUUCAUACUAUGAAUUUUUGGAAAAAGAAAAA
rnacentral:lncRNA from 1 species